CGCGGCCCCAACGCCGACGGUGCGGCCCCACGGCGCCCGCCCCACAGGUGAGCUGCUGGUUGGGGGGGAUGAGGGUCUGGGGGGAUCUAUGGGGCCCAUGGGGUGAGAGAUGUGGGGUGUUCCUAUGGAUCUAUGGGGCCCAUGGGGUGAGUGAGUGUUCCUGUGGGUCUGUGGGGUCCGUGGGGUUGGAGAUGUGGGGUGAGUGAGUGUUCCUAUGGGGCUUUGGGGUCUGUGGGGUGGGAGCUGUGGGGUUGAGUGUUCCUGUGGGUCUAUGGGGCCCAUGGGGUGAGUGAGUGUUCCUAUGGGGCUGUGGGGUCUGUGGGGUGUUCCUAUGGAUCUGUGGGGCCCAUGGGGUGAGUGAGUGUUCCUAUGGAUCUAUGGGGCCCAUGGGGUCGGAUCUAUGGGGCCCACGGGGUCAGAUCUAUGGGGCCCACGGGGUCGGAUCUAUGGGGCCUACGGGUGCCCAUCUAUGGGGCCGAGGACUGGAACGUGUGGGGUGAUUGUUCCCUUCUCUCUUGGUGGGAUCUAUGGGGUCCAUAGGGUUGGAUCUAUGGGGCCGGCAGGUGUCCGUCUGUGGGAUCUGUCAGGUUGGGAUCUGUGGGGUGAGUGGUUGCUGGCACGGAGCUGUGGGGCCGCUUGGGGGUCAUCUGUGGGGUUUUGUAGGGUCGGAUGGGGGGGCUCUGUGGGGUGGCCCUAUAGGGUGGGUUCUGUAGGGUGGCUCUGUAGGGCGGCUCUAUGGGGUGGCGGAUUGUUCCCUAUUGUCUUGCUUGGAUCUGUGGGGUCUUGUAGGAUCUAUGGGGUCUUAUGGGGUGUUGUAGGAUCUGUGGGGUCUUGUAGGAUCUGUGGGGUCUUGUAGGGUCUAUGGGGUCUUAUGGGAUCUAUGGGGUCUUGUGGGGCCCUGUAGGGCCUAUGAGGUCUUGUAGGGUCUGUGGGGUCUUGUGGGAUCUAUGGGGUCUUAUGGGCUCUAUGGCAUCUUGUAGGGUCUAUGGGGUCUUGUAGGAUCUGUGGUGUCUUGUAGGGUCUGUGGGGUCCUGUAUGAUCUAUGGGGUCUUGUAGGGUCUGUGGGGUCUUAUGGUGUCUUGUAGGAUCUAUGGGGUCUUGUGGGGUCUUAUGGUGUCUUAUAGGAUCUGUGGGGUCUUGUGGGGUCUUAUGGUGUCUUGUAGGAUGUAUGGGGUUUUACGGGGUCUUGUAGGAUCUAUGGGGUCUCGUAGGGUCUGUGGGGUCUUGUAGGGUGGGAUAUUUGGGGCAAAGCGGGUGGCGAUCUGUGGGGCCGUUCUUAUGGGAUCUGUGGGGUGAUUGGUGUUAGUGUUGUUUGUUGGAUCUGUGGGUCAGUGGGGUCGGAUCUGUGGGGUCAGAUCUGUGGGGUCGGAUCUGUGGGGCUCAUUGAGAUCUGUGGGGUCGGAUC
rnacentral:lncRNA from 1 species